rnacentral:rRNA from 1 species
UAUCGACGUAGUUUGAUCAUGGCUCAGGAUGAACGCUAGCGGCAGGCUUAAUACAUGCAAGUCAAGGGGGUAGCAAUACAACCGGCGCACGGGUGAGUAACACGUACACAACAUACCAUAUACUGAGGUAUAGCUUCGGGAAACUGAAGGUAAUCCCUCAUAGUAUUGUGAAAGGGCAUCUUUUUACAAUUAAAGUUUCGACGGUAUAUGAUUGGUGUGCGUUUGAUUAGCUAGUUGGUAGGGUAACGGCCUACCAAGGCAACGAUCAAUAGCUGGCGUGAGAGCGCGACCAGCCACACUGGAACUGAGACACGGUCCAGACUCCUACGGGAGGCAGCAGUAGGGAAUAUUGGACAAUGGGCGAAAGCCUGAUCCAGCCAUGCCGCGUGAUAGAUGAAGGCCCUCUGGGUUGUAAAUAUCUUUUAUCUGGGAAGAAACACUUCUAUUCUUAGAAGCUUGACGGUACCAGAGGAAUAAGCACCGGCUAACUCCGUG